GCUGGCGGGCUCUAAGGACCAUCAGCACUAGUUGCACUUUUAUCCAAUGCUCACCAGCCCACAGAAGUCCAGACUACUGUGGACCCAGCUUUUUGUCACCUCCCCUCCUCAGAAGCACAGGCCUGUAUGCCUCACCUCUUACUAGACACUGGAGGAACAGAAGCAGAAAUAAAACUGUUUCCAGACCCUCCUACCAAAAGCUGGCGCCACGGUUCGGGGUACCCAGAGCACGGGAGGCUGAGGCUGAAGGAGUGAGGGGAUGGGGGCGUGCUGCGACUAAAUUUGCUCAUCCAGCCUGUCAGUCCCUUAAUCUGGUCCCAGGGGAACAAGCACAGAGGCUUCACUCUGGAUGACAAACGAGGAGGGGAGAGGCCUGCCCUGCCUGGACACUGGGUCCCACCAUGUCUGUGUAACCAACGUGAACCCCAGCAAUCACCAUGUUUUCCCCUCAGAAGUGUCUUCCAGUUGGUUCAUGAUCAGACCUGGGAAAGCAUCCAUCUCUCCGCGCCUCAGUAUACUGAUCUGUAAAAUGGGCCUCCUAUGAAGCUCAGUGGAGCUCCCACCGCCGAGCGAGCUACAGUGAGACGAAGGUCCCACCAGUGAGCUUGUCGCCAGCGCUUCUCCGGCUCCCACCAAGGCCACUCUUUGCCUGCUGAGUUCUCAAGUCUCAGCGCGAACACAGUGACCAUCGCCGGCCAGGGUCCCGUUUGCUGUGGUCGUAGCCACAGCUGCUGAGCCUCAGCCCAUCCCAGGCUUCCAUGGAGCAACGGUUCCCACGCCUGCUUUGUUCAGACUCAUCCGGCGCAUUAACGCUUAGGCCUGGGCCACCCGGGCUGGAGGUCAGAGCCUGCAAAGAGGACAGUCGCAGCGUACCAGGGCUUCUCCAGUCUGCCUCAGCCUUGGGUGGAGAUUCCACUUGGAAAACACCAGGGGGAAA